GCGGGGGCGGGCCCUGGACCUGGACCUUGGGUUUCGGCCCUCCUCCGCGCCCCGCGGUCUCGCGGGCGAAGUUUCAGUCCUGAGUGUAAAGAAUAACCCCAAGCGCGUGGCUAAGUGCGAGCAGGCGCGUGUGACGUCGGGAGGCGCCGCGGCUCCUCGGCCGCCCCACUCGGUGGUCCCCUGUCUGGAUCCAAACUGCUGACUGGCUGACCCGAGUGGUCACAUUUGCCCUCUGGGGCUUUUGAAAACCUUAAAUCAAAAUUGCUUUUGAAUCUGACAACUCCUGAGGCUACUUUCGCGGCCUCGGGGCUGUUUCAUAUAAGGACGCGAGUUUUCCUGAUCAGGUCUGUCGGCCACGUUACGAUUUCCAAUUUGCGAUCCAUCAGUUACUUCCAUUGGGUCUUCAGCCCCCAGGGACUGUGGAUCCUAGACCCCGCGGAGAAGCCCGUGGACUGGAGCUGUGUCAGCUCUGAUGGAACAAAAACGGAGGCACAGAGAGGUCAAUUGAUUGGUCUAAUGACACAGAUCUAGCAAGUGGUGGAACCAGGACUGAAUCCAGGAGAAUCUGGAAGACUACUCUGCCAAGACAUCUCAAAAAGUGUGUGUCCGGAAUUGGUGGGUUCUUGGUCUCACUGACUUCAAGAAUGAAGCCGCGGACCCUUGCGGAACUGUGAAGACUAGAGUGACCUUGGAGAUCUCAUCUGGAAGAUGGUAGAACUGCUAUCAGCCUGGCUUCCCAAAUGACCUCCUGGAUCACAGCUACCCAUGGCCUGAAAUGUUGACCUUGGAGUUGUUGCAUAGGAAAGAAAUAAACUUCUUUGUUCUUUGAGCCACAUAGUUAUCACAUAUCUUCUUAAAGCCACUUACCCACUUGUUCUAUCUCAUUCAGCUCUGAAAUUCUGUUUAAUUUCUAGAGUCAAAACAUUCAUUUGUUUCUUCUUUAUUUAACAAGAAUCAAUUACUUAUUUUAUGGAAGCCACUAUUCCAAAGAGAAGAAUCAUAAAAACAUUAGCCUUAUGGAUCUUUUGUCCUGGGAACAACACAGAGUGGAGACUACUGGAAUUUUUAAUAAAGUUCCUUUCCUGGGCAGUGCCAGUCCAGACCUAAUUUCCAGACUUAGUUAAGAUUAGACCAGUGUGCUGAAGAAUCAAAACAUCUAGAUAUUUUCCUUGCUCCAUUCUGCUUACAGCCCCACAAAAACUACUCACCCCACAGGGUUUCUUGCUUGAGAUUCCAGACAAUUCCUGUAUGUUUUAUUAGAAUACACUCUGUGUUUCAUCCAACUAGGAAGCCUUUGGCUCCGACUUAAAGCAUUAAGAACGGACCACUUUGGUAUGGAAAAUUAUCAGUUUUGGGGGAAAAGCCCCUGUUUCUCUGAUCUGUGCUCUGAAUUUGGCAGCUUUGUAGGCUUUCUCAAAGAGCCGCAACUGUGAACCAUGUCAUGUUGUCAUUAUCUCUGAUAUGCUCUGUGCAUUGGAAAUCCUGUGUGAGACUGGCAGGGGACAGAGGGAAUGAAGAAAUCACAUUCAUCAGAACAAGCUGCUCAACUUCCUUAAGUAAGGAGUUUGUCUAACAUCCAGUGGUUUCCUCUGACAGAGUGUGUACUUUCUUAACAUACGGACAAGAUUAGUACAUAGCCAGAAUGACUGUCUGCAGGUCCUAGGCUGCUUUUCAGAGGCAGCUUUAAUCUUCCUAAUUGAAUAUUUAGCUUUUCUAGGCCUGCACAAAAUGUAAAUCACAAUGUUUACAAUCUGUGAAAUAAUAGGAGAGUACAUAAUGUCAUUGCAAUAUUUUGUAAUCACUGUUAAAUGACUAAAAUCUAUUAAACUCAAUCAUUUUAAAUUAAACUUCUAAACUUCCCCAUUGCAGGUGAUGGCAACUCCAUUUUUACAAUCGCUUAGGCCAAAAAAACUUGACGUCAUCCUUGACUCUUCUUUCUCUCUCAUCUCACAAGCAAUUCAUCAGAAAAUCCUGUCAGCUCUGCUUUCAAAAUUUAACCAGAAUCUGAUUCCUUUGCAUCACCUCCACUGCUACCACUCUGGUGGAGCUGCCAACAUCUGUCACAUAGAUUAAGUCACACACACACACAUGCACACACACACAGAGUGUAUUCUCAGUCAAAGUGAUCUUUUUAAAAGGGAAAUAAGGCCAUUCUACUCCUCUGUUCAAAACUUUCAAAUGGCUCUCCACUUUUCUCUGAAUAUAAGCUCAAAUCCAUACAAGGACUUGUAGAGCCCCCGUUACCUUCUGACCUCAUUGCCUCCUACUCUGAUCUCUUAUGCAGAUCCUGCCCCAGUGGCUUCCUUGUUGCUCCUGGGUCACAUAAGGAAUGCUCUUGUUAUUUGUUCCAACUCUUUCUCAGUGCCCUCUCCUUGAUGUCUGCUUGGAUAUCUCCCUCACCUUCUUUAAUUGGACCUCUACCUUUCACCAUAUACAAAAAUUAACUCGAGAUGAAUUAAAGAUUUAAAUGUAAGACCUCAAACUCUAUAAAUUACAGAAGAAAAUCUGGGAAAUUCCCUUCUCAAUGUCAGCCUUGGCAAAGAAUUGAUGGGUAAGUCCUCAAAAGCAAUUGCAACAAAAAAAUUGACAUGUGGGACCUAAUUAAACUAAAGAGGUUUUGCGCAGCAAAAGAAACUAGCAACAAGUAAACAACCUAUAGAAUGGGAGAAAAUAUUUGCAAGCUAUGCAUCCAACAAAGGUCUAAUAUCCAGAAUCUAUAAGGAACUUAAAUCAACAAGCAAAAAACAACCCCAUUAAAAAGUGGACAAAGGACAUGAACAGACAGUUCUCAAAAGAAGACAUAUAAGCAGCCAACAAACAUGAAAAAAUGCUCACCAUUGCUAAUCAUCAGAGAAAAGCAAAUUAAAACCAUAAUGAGAUAUCAUCUCACAUCAGCCAGAAUGGCUAUUAUUAAAAAGCCAAAAAAUAACAGAUGCUGUCAAGACUACAGAAAACAGGGGACACUUACACACUUUGGGUGGGAAUGUAAAUUAGUUCAGCCACGGUGGAAAGCAGUUUGGAGAUUUCUCAAAUAACUUAGAACUACCAUUUGACCCAGCAAUCCCAUUACUAGGUAUGUACCCAAAGGAACAUAUAUCAUUCUACAAAAAAGACACAUGCACUUGCAUGUUUUUUGCAGCACUAUUCACAAAAGGAAAGACAUGGAAUCAACCUAGAUGUGUAUCAGUGGUGGACUGGAUAAAGAAAAUGUGGUACAUAUAUACUAUGGAAUACUAUGCAGGCAUACAAAAUGAAAUCAUGUCUUUUGCAGCAACAUGGAUGCAGCCGGAGGCCAUUAUCCUAAGGAAUAGAAAACCAGGGCCGGAUGUGGUGGCUCACACCUGUAAUCCCAGCACUUUGGGAGGCUGAGGCAGGCAGAUCACAAGGUCAGGAAUUUGAGACCAGCCUGGCCAACAUAGUGAAACCUCAUCUCUACUAAAUACAAAAAAAUUAGCCGGGCGUGGUGGUGUGUGGUGGUAAUCCCACCUACUUGUGAGGUUGAAGUGGGAGAAUCGCUUGAACCUGGGAGGUGGAGGUUGCGGUGAGCCGAGAUCGCGCCACUGCACCCAGCCAGGGCGACAGUGCAAGAGUCCGACUCAAAAAAAAAAAAAAAAGAAAAGAAAAUGAAACCAAAUACCACAUGUUCUCACUUAUAAACGUGAACUAAACAUCAAGUACAUGUGGAGAUAAAGAUGGGAGCAACGGACACUGGGGACUGCUGGGGUCGGGGAGUGUUAGAGGGGGUGCUGAGGAACUGCCUAUGGGUGCUGUGCUCACUGCCUGGGUGACCAGAUCAUUCAUACUUCAAACCUCAGCAUCCCACAGUGUUCCCAUGUGACAGACCUGCACACGUAUCUCCUGAAUCUAAAAUAAAAGUUGAAAUUGCUUUUAAAAAAAGACUUGGCUGAAAUAUCUCCUCUUUAAUAAGGUCCACUGGGACUACCCUAUUCCUACUGUCCCUUGCUGUCCCACUCACUUA
rnacentral:lncRNA from 1 species